UUGAUGAAGGAAGUUUUGAGUUUCGUGGAGCGUGGAGUCACGAGCACGGAGAGUUUUUUGCUGUUGAAGUUGGCCGAAAUUGAGGACGCUCAACGUGCCUCUUUUGCGAGAGGGGAGAGGGGAGUACGUGUGAUUGUGUCUCCGUGGCAGGAUGCGGAGCUGAGGGAGGGUACUGGGCCUUGGCCUCUUAUGACCUCCCGAUGCUACCCUGAGUAUGCUCCUUACGAUAAAUUUGUAUGGCACCAGGAGUAUAGGUGGUCCUGGGAGUUGAGAAAAUAUGAGUCUCUCUCGUUAUUAUUGGGCUCCAGAUAUGUUCAAGAGUCCCACCUCCACUCCUGUGUCGGAAGAAGAAUUAAUGGAGGAGGUGAUAGGCAUUUUGGGCGUCAACACUUGUUUUAGGUGAGUGAUUUUAUUUUGUUGUGCUCCUUUUUUUUAUUUUAACUAUUAAAAUUAUUCUUUAAUGAAGGAAAACCUUAUUUAUUUUGUUCUUUUUUUUGUGUUAUAGGAGCUUUUUGUCUUUGCCUACUGAUCCUCCUAAGCUUGGAUUUCGUCCUAAGAACCCUGCGUUGGAGCUUGUUUUUGUACAACGGUACAAAUUGGAGUGGGAGGAAAUGUUUAUAAUCUCCAAGGCUUGGGAUGUUCGCUGGAAUGUAUCAGUCCAGAGUGUUACAAACCAGAAUUUAUUUAUUUAAAAAUACCGAGCUUUUGAGAUGGCUCUAAAAUUCUACUUUGGGGAGGCACCAAACUGCCGAAUUCCUUGGGAAUUCGUUUUCCACUUUUAAAAGUUACGCACUGCUUCUAAAGAAAUGUUUGUGUGAGGAAUUUAAUGUAAGUAAAAGAGAGAAGUUAGCUUGAGAAAAACAAAGAGGUUUAUUUAUUGGUACUAAAUUUAGAAUGAUACAAUUACUUACUCUACCGGCGACAGUGGUGUCACAAU